rnacentral:rRNA from 1 species
GACGAACGCUAGCGGCGUGCUUAACACAUGCAAGUCGAACGGUAAGGCCCUUCGGGGUACACGAGUGGCGAACGGGUGAGUAACACGUGGGUGAUCUGCCCUGCACUUCGGGAUAAGCCUGGGAAACUGGGUCUAAUACCGGAUAGGACCACUGCCUGCAUGGGUGGUGGUGGAAAGCUUUUGCGGUGUGGGAUGGGCCCGCGGCCUAUCAGCUUGUUGGUGGGGUGAUGGCCUACCAAGGCGACGACGGGUAGCCGGCCUGAGAGGGUGACCGGCCACACUGGGCAUGGGAUACGGCCCAGACUCCUACGGGAGGCAGCAGUGGGGAAUAUUGCGCAAUGGGCGCAAGCCUGAUGCAGCGACGCCGCGUGAGGGAUGACGGCCUUCGGGUUGUAAACCUCUUUCAGCACCGACGAAGUGCAAGUGACGGUAGGUGCAGAAGAAGGACCGGCCAACUACGUGCCAGCCGCCGCAGUAA